UUAAGCGACUAAGCGUACACGGUGGAUGCCCUGGCAGUCAGAGGCGAUGAAGGACGUGCUAAUCUGCGAUAAGCGUCGGUAAGGUGAUAUGAACCGUUAUAACCGGCGAUUUCCGAAUGGGGAAACCCAGUGUGAUUCGUCACACUAUCAUUAACUGAAUCCAUAGGUUAAUGAGGCGAACCGGGGGAACUGAAACAUCUAAGUACCCCGAGGAAAAGAAAUCAACCGAGAUUCCCCCAGUAGCGGCGAGCGAACGGGGAGCAGCCCAGAGCCUGAAUCAGUGUGUGUGUUAGUGGAAGCGUCUGGAAAGGCGCGCGAUACAGGGUGACAGCCCCGUACACAAAAAUGCACAUGCUGUGAGCUCGAUGAGUAGGGCGGGACACGUGGUAUCCUGUCUGAAUAUGGGGGGACCAUCCUCCAAGGCUAAAUACUCCUGACUGACCGAUAGUGAACCAGUACCGUGAGGGAAAGGCGAAAAGAACCCCGGCGAGGGGAGUGAAAAAGAACCUGAAACCGUGUACGUACAAGCAGUGGGAGCACAGAGCAAUCUGUGUGACUGCGUACCUUUUGUAUAAUGGGUCAGCGACUUAUAUUCUGUAGCAAGGUUAACCGAAUAGGGGAGCCGAAGGGAAACCGAGUCUUAACUGGGCGUUAAGUUGCAGGGUAUAGACCCGAAACCCGGUGAUCUAGCCAUGGGCAGGUUGAAGGUUGGGUAACACUAACUGGAGGACCGAACCGACUAAUGUUGAAAAAUUAGCGGAUGACUUGUGGCUGGGGGUGAAAGGCCAAUCAAACCGGGAGAUAGCUGGUUCUCCCCGAAAGCUAUUUAGGUAGCGCCUCGUGAAUUCAUCUCCGGGGGUAGAGCACUGUUUCGGCAAGGGGGUCAUCCCGACUUACCAACCCGAUGCAAACUGCGAAUACCGGAGAAUGUUAUCACGGGAGACACACGGCGGGUGCUAACGUCCGUCGUGAAGAGGGAAACAACCCAGACCGCCAGCUAAGGUCCCAAAGUCAUGGUUAAGUGGGAAACGAUGUGGGAAGGCCCAGACAGCCAGGAUGUUGGCUUAGAAGCAGCCAUCAUUUAAAGAAAGCGUAAUAGCUCACUGGUCGAGUCGGCCUGCGCGGAAGAUGUAACGGGGCUAAACCAUGCACCGAAGCUGCGGCAGCGACGCUGAUGCGUUGUUGGGUAGGGGAGCGUUCUGUAAGCCUGCGAAGGUGUGCUGUGAGGCAUGCUGGAGGUAUCAGAAGUGCGAAUGCUGACAUAAGUAACGAUAAAGCGGGGUGAAAAGCCCGCUCGCCGGAAGACCAAGGGUUCCUGUCCAACGUUAAUCGGGGCAGGGUGAGUCGACCCCUAAGGCGAGGCCGAAAGGCGUAGUCGAUGGGAAACAGGUUAAUAUUCCUGUACUUGGUGUUACUGCGAAGGGGGGACGGAGAAGGCUAUGUUGGCCGGGCGACGGUUGUCCCGGUUUAAGCGUGUAGGCUGGUUUUCCAGGCAAAUCCGGAAAUCAAGGCUGAGGCGUGAUGACGAGGCACUACGGUGCUGAAGCAACAAAUGCCCUGCUUCCAGGAAAAGCCUCUAAGCAUCAGGUAACAUCAAAUCGUACCCCAAACCGACACAGGUGGUCAGGUAGAGAAUACCAAGGCGCUUGAGAGAACUCGGGUGAAGGAACUAGGCAAAAUGGUGCCGUAACUUCGGGAGAAGGCACGCUGAUAUGUAGGUGAAGUCCCUCGCGGAUGGAGCUGAAAUCAGUCGAAGAUACCAGCUGGCUGCAACUGUUUAUUAAAAACACAGCACUGUGCAAACACGAAAGUGGACGUAUACGGUGUGACGCCUGCCCGGUGCCGGAAGGUUAAUUGAUGGGGUCAGCGCAAGCGAAGCUCUUGAUCGAAGCCCCGGUAAACGGCGGCCGUAACUAUAACGGUCCUAAGGUAGCGAAAUUCCUUGUCGGGUAAGUUCCGACCUGCACGAAUGGCGUAAUGAUGGCCAGGCUGUCUCCACCCGAGACUCAGUGAAAUUGAACUCGCUGUGAAGAUGCAGUGUACCCGCGGCAAGACGGAAAGACCCCGUGAACCUUUACUAUAGCUUGACACUGAACAUUGAGCCUUGAUGUGUAGGAUAGGUGGGAGGCUUUGAAGUGUGGACGCCAGUCUGCAUGGAGCCGGCCUUGAAAUACCACCCUUUAAUGUUUGAUGUUCUAACGUUGACCCGUGAUCCGGGUUGCGGACAGUGUCUGGUGGGUAGUUUGACUGGGGCGGUCUCCUCCUAAAGAGUAACGGAGGAGCACGAAGGUUGGCUAAUCCUGGUCGGACAUCAGGAGGUUAGUGCAAUGGCAUAAGCCAGCUUGACUGCGAGCGUGACGGCGCGAGCAGGUGCGAAAGCAGGUCAUAGUGAUCCGGUGGUUCUGAAUGGAAGGGCCAUCGCUCAACGGAUAAAAGGUACUCCGGGGAUAACAGGCUGAUACCGCCCAAGAGUUCAUAUCGACGGCGGUGUUUGGCACCUCGAUGUCGGCUCAUCACAUCCUGGGGCUGAAGUAGGUCCCAAGGGUAUGGCUGUUCGCCAUUUAAAGUGGUACGCGAGCUGGGUUUAGAACGUCGUGAGACAGUUCGGUCCCUAUCUGCCGUGGGCGCUGGAGAACUGAGGGGGGCUGCUCCUAGUACGAGAGGACCGGAGUGGACGCAUCACUGGUGUUCGGGUUGUCAUGCCAAUGGCACUGCCCGGUAGCUAAAUGCGGAAGAGAUAAGUGCUGAAAGCAUCUAAGCACGAAACUUGCCCCGAGAUGAGUUCUCCCUGACUCCUUGAGAGUCCUGAAGGAACGUUGAAGACGACGACGUUGAUAGGCCGGGUGUGUAAGCGCAGCGAUGCGUUGAGCUAACCGGUACUAAUGAACCGUGAGGCUUAACCUU
rnacentral:rRNA from 1 species